UAUAGAGUUUGAUCCUGGCUCAGAUUGAACGCUGGCGGCAGGCCUAACACAUGCAAGUCGAACGGUAGCACAGAGAGCUUGCUCUCGGGUGACGAGUGGCGGACGGGUGAGUAAUGUCUGGGAAACUGCCCGAUGGAGGGGGAUAACUACUGGAAACGGUAGCUAAUACCGCAUAACGUCGCAAGACCAAAGAGGGGGACCUUCGGGCCUCUUGCCAUCGGAUGUGCCCAGAUGGGAUUAGCUUGUUGGUGGGGUAACGGCUCACCAAGGCGACGAUCCCUAGCUGGUCUGAGAGGAUGACCAGCCACACUGGAACUGAGACACGGUCCAGACUCCUACGGGAGGCAGCAGUGGGGAAUAUUGCACAAUGGGCGCAAGCCUGAUGCAGCCAUGCCGCGUGUAUGAAGAAGGCCUUCGGGUUGUAAAGUACUUUCAGCGAGGAGGAAGGGGGGAAUGGUUAAUAACCAUAGUCAUUGACGUUACUCGCAGA
rnacentral:rRNA from 1 species